rnacentral:misc_RNA from 1 species
GAUGAAGAACGUAGUGAAAUGCGAUAAGUAAUGUGAAUUGCAGAAUUCAGUGAAUCAUCGAAUCUUUGAACGCACCUUGCGCCUUUUGGUAUUCCGAAAGGCACACCUGUUUGAGCGUCAUGAAUACCUCAAUCUCCAUCUUUUCUUCGGAUUGAUGGGUGACUUGGAUGUUGAGCCCUGCUGGUAUGCUAUAUCAGCUGGCUUUAAACUUAUUAGCCAGCUCUGUACUGGAUCGGUUUGACUCGACGUGAUAAUAUUAUCGUUGAGGAUGCAUGUCUCAUGCAGCCGGAAAGUAUCAAAGCAGCUUCUAGCUUGCCUUUAGUGCACUUUUACAUUUUAGACCUCAGAUCAGGUGGGACUACCCGCUGAACUUAAGCAUAUCAAUAAGCGGAGGA